rnacentral:rRNA from 1 species
AGAGUUUGAUCAUGGCUCAGAGCGAACGCUGGCGGCGUGCUUAACACAUGCAAGUCGAGUGCGCGGUGCCGUAGCAAUACGGUACUGGCGCACGGCGCACGGGUGCGUAACACGUGGGUAAUCUGCCCUCUGAUGGGGAAUAACUCGCCGAAAGGCGAGCUAAUUCCGCAUAACAUUCCUUGGACUCAGGUUCGAGGAUUCAAAGGCGUAAGUCGUCGGAGGUGGAGCCCGCGCACGAUUAGCUAGUUGGUAGGGUAAUGGCCUACCAAGGCUUUGAUCGUUAGCUGGUCUGAGAGGAUGGCCAGCCACACUGGAACUGAGACACGGUCCAGACUCCUACGGGAGGCAGCAGUGGGGAAUCUUGCACAAUGGGCGAAAGCCUGAUGCAGCGACGCCGCGUGGGGGAUGAAGCUUCUCGGAGUGUAAACCCCUUUCGACCGGGACGAAUACCUCGCAAGAGGGGUGACGGUACCGGUAUAAGAAGCCCCGGCUAACUACGUGCCAGCAGCCGCGGUAAGACGUAGGGGGCCAGCGUUGCUCGGAAUUACUGGGUGUAAAGGGUUCGUAGGCGGUGUGGCAAGUCGGGAGUGAAAUCUCUGAGCUUAACUCAGGGCCUGCUUCCGAAACUGCUGUGCUAGAGUGUGGGAGAGGCGCGUGGAAUUGCAGGUGUAGCGGUGAAAUGCGUAGAUAUCUGCAGGAACACCCGUGGCGAAAGCGGCGCGCUGGACCACUACUGACGCUGAGGAACGAAAGCUAGGGGAGCAAACAGGAUUAGAUACCCUAGUAGUCC